rnacentral:rRNA from 1 species
CCUUAGAGUUUGAUCCUGGCUCAGGAUGAACGCUAGCUACAGGCUUAACACAUGCAAGUCGAGGGGCAGCAUGGUCUUAGCUUGCUAAGGCCGAUGGCGACCGGCGCACGGGUGAGUAACACGUAUCCAACCUGCCGUCUACUCUUGGACAGCCUUCUGAAAGGAAGAUUAAUACAAGAUGGCAUCAUGAGUCCACAUGUUCACAUGAUUAAAGGUAUUCCGGUAGACGAUGGGGAUGCGUUCCAUUAGAUAGUAGGCGGGGUAACGGCCCACCUAGUCUUCGAUGGAUAGGGGUUCUGAGAGGAAGGUCCCCCACAUUGGAACUGAGACACGGUCCAAACUCCUACGGGAGGCAGCAGUGAGGAAUAUUGGUCAAUGGGCGAGAGCCUGAACCAGCCAAGUAGCGUGAAGGAUGACUGCCCUAUGGGUUGUAAACUUCUUUUAUAAAGGAAUAAAGUCGGGUAUGGAUACCCGUUUGCAUGUACUUUAUGAAUAAGGAUCGGCUAACUCCGUGCCAGCAGCCGCGGUAAUACGGAGGAUCCGAGCGUUAUCCGGAUUUAUUGGGUUUAAAGGGAGCGUAGAUGGAUGUUUAAGUCAGUUGUGAAAGUUUGCGGCUCAACCGUAAAAUUGCAGUUGAUACUGGAUAUCUUGAGUGCAGUUGAGGCAGGCGGAAUUCGUGGUGUAGCGGUGAAAUGCUUAGAUAUCACGAAGAACUCCGAUUGCGAAGGCAGCCUGCUAAGCUGCAACUGACAUUGAGGCUCGAAAGUGUGGGUAUCAAACAGGAUUAGAUACCCUGGUAGUCCACACGGUAAACGAUGAAUACUCGCUGUUUGCGAUAUACUGCAAGCGGCCAAGCGAAAGCGUUAAGUAUUCCACCUGGGGAGUACGCCGGCAACGGUGAAACUCAAAGGAAUUGACGGGGGCCCGCACAAGCGGAGGAACAUGUGGUUUAAUUCGAUGAUACGCGAGGAACCUUACCCGGGCUUAAAUUGCAGAUGAAUUACGGUGAAAGCCGUAAGCCGCAAGGCAUCUGUGAAGGUGCUGCAUGGUUGUCGUCAGCUCGUGCCGUGAGGUGUCGGCUUAAGUGCCAUAACGAGCGCAACCCUUGUUGUCAGUUACUAACAGGUUCCGCUGAGGACUCUGACAAGACUGCCAUCGUAAGAUGUGAGGAAGGUGGGGAUGACGUCAAAUCAGCACGGCCCUUACGUCCGGGGCUACACACGUGUUACAAUGGGGGGUACAGAGGGCCGCUACCACGCGAGUGGAUGCCAAUCCCCAAAACCUCUCUCAGUUCGGACUGGAGUCUGCAACCCGACUCCACGAAGCUGGAUUCGCUAGUAAUCGCGCAUCAGCCACGGCGCGGUGAAUACGUUCCCGGGCCUUGCACUCACCGCCCGUCAAG